UACUCCUACGGGAGGCAGCAGUGGGGAAUAUUGCGCAAUGGGGGGAACCCUGACGCAGCCAUGCCGCGUGAAUGAAGAAGGCCUUCGGGUUGUAAAGUUCUUUCGGUAUUGAGGAAGGUUGAUGUGUUAAUAGCACAUCAAAUUGACGUUAAAUACAGAAGAAGCACCGGCUAACUCCGUGCCAGCAGCCGCGGUAAUACGGAGGGUGCGAGCGUUAAUCGGAAUAACUGGGCGUAAAGGGCACGCAGGCGGUUAUUUAAGUGAGGUGUGAAAGCCCCGGGCUUAACCUGGGAAUUGCAUUUCAGACUGGGUAACUAGAGUACUUUAGGGAGGGGUAGAAUUCCACGUGUAGCGGUGAAAUGCGUAGAGAUGUGGAGGAAUACCGAAGGCGAAGGCAGCCCCUUGGGAAUGUACUGACGCUCAUGUGCGAAAGCGUGGGGAGCAAACAGGAUUAGAUACCCUGGUAGUCCACGCUGUAAGCGCUGUCGAUUUGGGGGUUGGGGUUUAACUCUGGCGCCCGUAGCUAACGUGAUAAAUCGACCGCCUGGGGAGUACGGCCGCAAGGUUAAAACUCAAAUGAAUUGACGGA
rnacentral:rRNA from 1 species